rnacentral:tRNA from 1 species
GAGAGUAUAGCUCAGUGGUGGAGUGCGUGCUUAGCAUGCACGAGGUCCUGGAUUCAAUCCCCAGUGCCCCA